GGAGAAAGAAGUAAAGUUAGAGAAGUUUAUUUUGAAGUUCAAAAGUUGGUUUUCGGCUUACUUUCGGCAUGCCAAAACCAUCCAUUCUGGGAAGAAGUGAGACAAAUAGGCCAUGUAAGAUGAAGUACGAAGUAAGUUGAAGAGAUUGGCGAAAGAAUGAAGUAAAACCGUUAAGAAUUAAGAAAAUUAUGGGGUUCGAAAGAUGGUUCGAAGAAAUGUCCGAGAUGGCGUGUGAGUAGUGAACCAAAAAUUAGGCCGUGAGGUGAAUCUAAUGAUAGAAAAAUAAGAUAAAACGGAGUUACGAUGAAAAAGAUACGAGUAUUUGAACUGGGGACAUUGAAACUAAAAUUCUGGGUCUCUCUGUCGUGCAUGCUGUGGCUGUUGGAGAAGAUGAACUAAAUUUUAUCCAGUGUUUCUCGGCUCAUGGUGCUACGGUGCAUCCUAGCACAUUUAGGUUAAUCGAGUGGUCCUAUGACUUUGGGGAUGACCACCCUUAGGUUUUUCGACGUGUAGAAUCCAUUUUUGGGGUUAGAUCUUGCAAAUUCUGAGUCUAAGAUGAUGAUCAACAACUAAAAGUCCUAAGA